rnacentral:rRNA from 1 species
AUGGAGGAAGUGAUCAUCAAGGCAAAGAUUCCUCUUCAAACCCUGGGUCCACUCCCCUCCUCUGGGGGCCCUGCUGAUGUCCUGCCGUCGUCCUCGAACAUACUGGUUGUGGUGCCACCGUUGCCUGAUAUCGGAGCCCCGGCUCGUUGCCAUGGAACGGACGGCGACGACGACAGGAGGGGCACGCACAUCCAUGGGAUGGGACGCUGCCAUGGAGAUGGAACUCCUUCUCCACACCACGUAGAGGCCCCAUGGAGCCCCCCUCCUUCUCCGGUGACUCUUCUCAGGCCCGACCCCCUACCUCCCCCCUCUCUUGGUAUAUAUGGCAAGUUAGGUGGUUGCUUCAGUCUGAGUGUGACAGCUUUAACCGAAGUCUGUUUAGUUCACUCAGCCUUCUAUUCAUUGAUUUUGUAUAUGGUUCUUGAAAGAGCUUCAGAAGGGUUGCUCACCAACGAACUAGAAGAUUGUUUUGUCCUGGGCAUUGACAUGAUUAAGGAAGAAUUUGCUUAUUCCUGGAUGUGCUAUGCAGAUCAAAGUUUAAGCUCAUGCUUGCAUUUUGGUGCUUGGAUUGUGAUCCUUUGUUCUAUGCAAAAAUCUCGAGGAAUGUAUAUCCUUUCAAGUUCACUGAUGCGGUCACCACUACAACACACGUCCCUCCAAGGACCAAGGGUGGGCAUGAUCUUCUACAAGUUUUCGGUGAUGUAUGUCGUGAAGCAGGAAGGGCGGACGGAGACGGUGCACUUCGACAAGAUCACAGUGCAGCUCAAGAAGCUCAGCUAUGGGCUCAGCCAGGAGCACUGCGACCCCAUGCUCGUCGCACAGAAGGUCUGCGUAGAAGGUCUGCAUUAG